rnacentral:tRNA from 1 species
GAUCUGGUAGCUCAGUGUUAGAGCUCCUGCCUAGCAUGCUGGAAGCCCUGGGUUCAAUCCCUAACAUCAUCA